CCCAGACUCCUACGGGAGGCAGCAGUGAGGAAUAUUGGUCAAUGGGCGGAAGCCUGAACCAGCCAAGUCGCGUGAGGGAUUAAGGCCCUGCGGGUCGUAAACCUCUUUUGCCGGGGAGCAGAGGUCCGGACGUGUCCGGGCCGGGAGAGUACCCGGAGAAAAAGCACCGGCUAACUCCGUGCCAGCAGCCGCGGUAAUACGGAGGGUGCGAGCGUUAAUCGGAAUUACUGGGCGUAAAGCGCUCGUAGGCGGUAUGUCAAGUCAAGGGUGAAAUCCCCGCGCUCAACGUGGGAACUGCCUUUGAAACUGGCAAACUGGAGUGUGUGAGAGGAUAGUGGAAUUCCAGGUGUAGGAGUGAAAUCCGUAGAUAUCUGGAGGAACAUCAGUGGCGAAGGCGACUAUCUGGCACAUAACUGACGCUGAGGAGCGAAAGCGUGGGUAGCAAACAGGAUUAGAUACCCGUGUA
rnacentral:rRNA from 1 species